CUGGUAGAGAUACUGGAGUGCUAGCUUGCUAGAACUUGAAAACAAGGUGCUGCACGGCUGUCGUCAGCUCGUGUCGUGAGAUGUUGGGUUAAGUCCCGCAACGAGCGCAACCUCGUCGUUAGUUGCUAACAGUUAGGCUGAGAACUCUAACGAGACUGCCUUCGUAAGGAGGAGGAAGGUGAGGACGACGUCAAGUCAUCAUGGCCCUUACGGCCAGGGCUACACACGUGCUACAAUGGGGUGUACAGAAAGCUGCAAUAUCGCGAGAUGGAGCAAAUCUCAAAAACACCUCCCAGUUCGGAUUGUUCUCUGCAACUCGAGAACAUGAAGUUGGAAUCGCUAGUAAUCGUAGAUCAGCAUUGCUACGGUGAAUACGUUCCCGGGUCUU
rnacentral:rRNA from 1 species